GACGAACGCUGGCGGCGUGCUUAACACAUGCAAGUCGAACGGAAAGGCCCUGCUUUUGUGGGGUGCUCGAUUGGCGAACGGGUGAGUAACACGUGAGUAACCUGCCCUUGACUUUGGGAUAACUUCAGGAAACUGGGGCUAAUACCGGAUAGGAGCUCCUGCUGCAUGGUGGGGGUUGGAAAGUUUCGGCGGUUGGGGAUGGACUCGCGGCUUAUCAGCUUGUUGGUGGGGUAGUGGCUUACCAAGGCUUUGACGGGUAGCCGGCCUGAGAGGGUGACCGGCCACAUGGGGACUGAGAUACGGCCCAGACUCCUACGGGAGGCAGCAGUGGGGAAUAUUGCACAAUGGGCGGAAGCCUGAUGCAGCAACGCCGCGUGCGGGAUGACGGCCUUCGGGUUGUAAACCGCUUUCGCCUGUGACGAAGCGUGAGUGACGGUAAUGGGUAAAGAAGCACCGGCUAACUACGUG
rnacentral:rRNA from 1 species